GCGCCCAUAGCUCAGUCGGUAGAGCAACUGACUUUUAAUCAGUAGGUCACAGGUUCGAAUCCUGUUGGGCGUACCA
rnacentral:tRNA from 5 species